rnacentral:rRNA from 1 species
CUAAUACAUGCAAGUCGAGCGGACAGAUGGGAGCUUGCUCCCUGAUGUUAGCGGCGGACGGGUGAGUAACACGUGGGUAACCUGCCUGUAAGACUGGGAUAACUCCGGGAAACCGGGGCUAAUACCGGAUGGUUGUUUGAACCGCAUGGUUCAGACAUAAAAGGUGGCUUCGGCUACCACUUACAGAUGGACCCGCGGCGCAUUAGCUAGUUGGUGAGGUAACGGCUCACCAAGGCGACGAUGCGUAGCCGACCUGAGAGGGUGAUCGGCCACACUGGGACUGAGACACGGCCCAGACUCCUACGGGAGGCAGCAGUAGGGAAUCUUCCGCAAUGGACGAAAGUCUGACGGAGCAACGCCGCGUGAGUGAUGAAGGUUUUCGGAUCGUAAAGCUCUGUUGUUAGGGAAGAACAAGUGCCGUUCAAAUAGGGCGGCACCUUGACGGUACCUAACCAGAAAGCCACGGCUAACUACGUGCCAGCAGCCGCGGUAAUACGUAGGUGGCAAGCGUUGUCCGGAAUUAUUGGGCGUAAAGGGCUCGCAGGCGGUUUCUUAAGUCUGAUGUGAAAGCCCCCGGCUCAACCGGGGAGGGUCAUUGGAAACUGGGGAACUUGAGUGCAGAAGAGGAGAGUGGAAUUCCACGUGUAGCGGUGAAAUGCGUAGAGAUGUGGAGGAACACCAGUGGCGAAGGCGACUCUCUGGUCUGUAACUGACGCUGAGGAGCGAAAGCGUGGGGAGCGAACAGGAUUAGAUACCCUGGUAGUCCACGCCGUAAACGAUGAGUGCUAAGUGUUAGGGGGUUUCCGCCCCUUAGUGCUGCAGCUAACGCAUUAAGCACUCCGCCUGGGGAGUACGGUCGCAAGACUGAAACUCAAAGGAAUUGACGGGGGCCCGCACAAGCGGUGGAGCAUGUGGUUUAAUUCGAAGCAACGCGAAGAACCUUACCAGGUCUUGACAUCCUCUGACAAUCCUAGAGAUAGGACGUCCCCUUCGGGGGCAGAGUGACAGGUGGUGCAUGGUUGUCGUCAGCUCGUGUCGUGAGAUGUUGGGUUAAGUCCCGCAACGAGCGCAACCCUUGAUCUUAGUUGCCAGCAUUCAGUUGGGCACUCUAAGGUGACUGCCGGUGACAAACCGGAGGAAGGUGGGGAUGACGUCAAAUCAUCAUGCCCCUUAUGACCUGGGCUACACACGUGCUACAAUGGACAGAACAAAGGGCAGCGAAACCGCGAGGUUAAGCCAAUCCCACAAAUCUGUUCUCAGUUCGGAUCGCAGUCUGCAACUCGACUGCGUGAAGCUGGAAUCGCUAGUAAUCGCGGAUCAGCAUGCCGCGGUGAAAUAC